rnacentral:rRNA from 1 species
CCUACGGGUGGCAGCAGUGGGGAAUAUUGCACAAUGGGCGCAAGCCUGAUGCAGCCAUGCCGCGUGUAUGAAGAAGGCCUCGGGUUGUAAAGUACUUUCAGCGAGGAGGAAGGUGUUAAGGUUAACAACCUUGGCGAUUGACGUUACUCGCAGAAGAAGCACCGGCUAACUCCGUGCCAGCAGCCGCGGUAAUACGGAGGGUGCAAGCGUUAAUCGGAAUUACUGGGCGUAAAGCGCACGCAGGCGGUCUGUCAAGUCGGAUGUGAAAUCCCCGGGCUCAACCUGGGAACUGCAUUCGAAACUGGCAGGCUAGAGUCUUGUAGAGGGGGGUAGAAUUCCAGGUGUAGCGGUGAAAUGCGUUGAGAUCUGGAGGAAUACCGGUGGCGGAGGCGGCCCCCUGGACAAAGACUGACGCUCAGGUGCGAAAGCGUGGGGAGCAAACAGGAUUAGAUACCCGUGUAGUC